AUCUGCUCGCCAUGGCGAGUUCACAAAAACACUAGCUCGCCAUGGCGAGUUCAAGGCGAACUCGAGGCGAGUAAAAAUCAGGUACUCUCGGGAAAAAGUGACAUUUUCUCACUCAAACUCCAAUUCUAAGCUCCCUAUUCAUCUUUUUAACCUAAAACUUUCGCCAUUCAUCAUUAAUAUCAUCUAGGUACCUUAAACCAUCCCCAAAACAUCUUAUAACAACUUUUCAAAAAUCAAGUUUUAUCCAGGCUUACUCGCCAUGGCGAGUUGGACUGCUCGCGAGGCGAGUGAUGAAGUUGCUCACUCGCGAGGCGAAGCAUGAAUGCUCGCGAGGCGAGCGAUGAACUUCUGUACGGGCA
rnacentral:lncRNA from 1 species